AGUCUAGAUACAUAGAUUUUAUUUUGAAGGGGUUCAACAUGAAUGGGUGUAAAAGAGUUUACUUGCCCAUAUAUUCAAUGUACCAAGCCUGAUGUGAUUUAUGCCUUGUGCAUAGUCAUUGAUUUCAGACAGAUCCAUGAUAAGAUCUUUUAAAAACUAUGAAAAGUAUUCUCAAAGUACUUGAGAAGUACUAGAAGAGCAGUGA
rnacentral:lncRNA from 1 species